rnacentral:rRNA from 1 species
GACGAACGCUGGCGGCGUGCUUAACACAUGCAAGUCGAACGGAAAGGCCCUGCUUUUGUGGGGUGCUCGAGUGGCGAACGGGUGAGUAACACGUUAGUAACCUGCCCUUGACUUUGGGUUAACUUCAGGAAACUGGGGCUUAUACCGGGUAGGAGCUCCCGCUGCAUGGUGGGGGCUGGAAAGUUUCGGCGGUUGGGGAUGGACUCGCGGCUUAUCAGCUUGUUGGGGGGGUAGUGGCUUACCAAGGCUUUGAAGGGUAGACGGCCUGAGAGGGUGACCGGCCACAUUGGGACUGAGAUGCGGCCCAGACUACUCCGGGAGGCAGCAGUGGGGAAUAGUGCACAAUGGGCGGAAGCCUGAUGUAGCAACGCCGCGUGCGGGAUAACGGCCUUCGGGUUGUAAACCGAUUUCGCCUGUGACGAAGCGUGAGUGACGGUAAUGGGUAAAGAAGCCCCGGCUAACUACGUG